rnacentral:tRNA from 1 species
GGUUCUAUAGUGUAGCGGUUAGCACCUCGGAUUCUGACCAAGACGUAUUCGCGUUGCGCAUCAGUCUUCCGGUAACCCCGGUUCGAUUCCGGGUAGGACCU